AUUGAACGCUGGCGGCAGGCCUAAUACAUGCAAGUCGAACGAGUGGCGGACGGGUGAGCAAUGUCUGGGAAACUGCCCGACCGAGGGGGAUAACUACUGGAAACGGUAGCUAAUACCGCAUACCAUCGGAUGUGCCCAGACGGGAUAAGCUAGUGGGUGGGGUAACGGCUCACCUUGGCGACGAUCCAUAGCUGGUCUGAGAGGAUGACCGGCCACGCUGGGACUGAGACACGGUCCAGACGCCUACGGGAGGCAGCAGUGGGGAAUAUUACACAAUGGGCGAAAGCCUGAUGCAGCCAUGCCGCGUGUGUGAAGAAGGCCUUCGGAUUGUAAGAUACUGUCAUCGAGGAGGCGUUACUCACAGAGGAAGCGCCGGCUAACUCCGUGCCAGCAGCCGCGGUAAUUC
rnacentral:rRNA from 1 species